rnacentral:rRNA from 1 species
CCUACGGGUGGCAGCAGUGGGGAAUAUUGGACAAUGGGCGAAAGCCUGAUCCAGCCAUGCCGCGUGUGUGAAGAAGGCCUUCGGGUUGUAAAGCACUUUCAGUGGGGAAGAAAGCCUUGGGGCUAAUACCCUCGAGGAAGGACAUCACCCACAGAAGAAGCACCGGCUAACUCCGUGCCAGCAGCCGCGGUAAUACGGAGGGUGCGAGCGUUAAUCGGAAUUACUGGGCGUAAAGCGCGCGUAGGCGGUCUGAUAAGCCGGUUGUGAAAGCCCCGGGCUCAACCUGGGAACGGCAUCCGGAACUGUCAGGCUAGAGUGCAGGAGAGGAAGGUAGAAUUCGCGGUGUAGCGGUGAAAUGCGUAGAGAUCGGGAGGAAUACCAGUGGCGAAGGCGGCCUUCUGGACUGACACUGACGCUGAGGUGCGAAAGCGUGGGUAGCGAACAGGAUUAGAUACCCCGGUAGUC